rnacentral:miRNA from 1 species
ACAAAGAGCUGUGGUAGAAAGUGAAAUUAAAAAUCACUUUCUACCACAGCUGUUGUUU